GAUGAACGCUGGCGGCGUGCCUAAUACAUGCAAGUCGAGCGAACAGACGAGGAGCUUGCUCCUCUGACGUUAGCGGCGGACGGGUGAGUAACACGUGGAUAACCUACCUAUAAGACUGGGAUAACUUCGGGAAACCGGAGCUAAUACCGGAUAAUAUAUUGAACCGCAUGGUUCAAUAGUGAAAGACGGUUUUGCUGUCACUUAUCGAUGGAUCCGCGCCGCAUUAGCUAGUUGGUAAGGUAACGGCUUACCAAGGCAACGAUGCCUAAACGACCUGAAAGGAUGCCAGUCACAAUGGGAACCGUAACUCCGGCCAGUUCCCUAAGGGAGCAGGCAGUAGGGAAGUUUACGCAAUGGGCGAAAGCUUGAAGGAGGAACGCCGCGUAAUCGAUGAAGGUCGUCGGGUCGGAAAACCCUGUUAUUACGGGAGAACCAUAAUCGAAAGCACUAUGGCCGCCUUGACCGUACCUAAUCAGAAAACCAAGGCUAACUACGUG
rnacentral:rRNA from 1 species